rnacentral:rRNA from 1 species
AUUGAACGCUGGCGGCAGGCCUAACACAUGCAAGUCGAACGCGUCGCGGACGGGUGAGUAAUGUCUGGGAAACUGCCAGAUGGAGGGGGAUAACCACUAGAAACGGUCGAUAAUACCGCAUAACCUCGGAAGUGCCCAGAUGGGAAUAGAUAGUAGGUGGGGUAACCGCGCACCUAGGCCGCGAUCCCUAGCUGGUCUGAGAGGAUGACCAGCCACACUUGAACUGAGACACGGUCCAGACUCCUGCGGGAGGCAGCAGUGGGGAAUAUUGCACAAUGGGCGCAAGCCUGAUGCAGCCAUGCCGCGUGUAUGAAGAAGGCCUUAGGGUUGUAAAGUACUUUCAGCGAGGAGGCGUUACUGGCAGAAGAAGCACCGGCUAACUCCGUGCCAGCAGCCGCGGUAAUUC